rnacentral:tRNA from 1 species
AGCCCCAUAGUAUAGUGGCCAAGUAUGAUUGCCUCUGGAGCAAUAGACCGAGGUUCGAAUCCUCGUGGGGCUACCA